UAUACCCCGCGGUGGAGACUAGCAUAUCAAUAAGCGGAGGAAAAGAAACCAACAGGGAUUGCCCUAGUAACGGCGAGUGAAGCGGCAACAGCUCAAAUUUGAAAUCUGGCUCUUUCAGAGUCCGAGUUGUAAUUUGCAGAGGGCGCUUUGGCGUUGGCAGCGGUCCAAGUUCUUUGGAACAGGACGUCACAGAGGGUGAGAAUCCCGUACGUGGUCGCUAUCCUUCGCCGUGUAAAGCCCCUUCGACGAGUCGAGUUGUUUGGGAAUGCAGCUCUAAAUGGGAGGUAAAUUUCUUCUAAAGCUAAAUACUGGCCAGAGACCGAUAGCGCACAAGUAGAGUGAUCGAAAGAUGAAAAGCACUUUGGAAAGAGAGUCAAACAGCACGUGAAAUUGUUGAAAGGGAAGCGCUUGCAGCCAGACUUGCCUGUAGUUGCUUAUCCGGACUUUUGUCCGGUGCACUCUUCUAUAGGCAGGCCAGCAUCAGUUUGGGCGGUUAGAUAAAGGUCUCUGUCAUGUACCUCUCUUCGGAGAGGCCUUAUAGGGGAGACGACAUGUAACCAGCCUGGACUGAGGUCCGCGCAUCUGCUAGGAUGCUGGCGUAAUGGCUGUAAGCGGCCCGUCUUGAAACACGGACCAAGGAGUCUAACAUCUAUGCGAGUGUUUGGGUGUCAAGCCCAGACGCGUAAUGAAAGUGAACGGAGGUAAGAACCCUUUGGGUGCAUUAUCGACCGAUCCUGAUGUCUUCGGAAGGAUUUGAGUAAGAGCAUGGCUGUUGGGACCCGAAAGAUGGUGAACUAUGCUUGAAUAGGGUGAAGCCAGAGGAAACUCUGGUGGAGGCUCGCAGCGGUUCUGACGUGCAAAUCGAUCGUCAAAUUUGGGCAUAGGGGCGAAAGACUAAUCCGAACAUCCCAAUUCCCC
rnacentral:rRNA from 1 species